rnacentral:rRNA from 1 species
GAUCAGCCAUGCCGCGUGCAGGAAGACUGCCCUAUGGGUUGUAAACUGCUUUUAUACAGGAAGAAACACCUCUACGUGUAGAGACUUGACGGUACUGUAAGAAUAAGGAUCGGCUAACUCCGUGCCAGCAGCCGCGGUAAUACGGAGGAUCCAAGCGUUAUCCGGAAUCAUUGGGUUUAAAGGGUCCGUAGGUGGAUAAUUAAGUCAGAGGUGAAAUCCUGCAGCUCAACUGUAGAAUUGCCUUUGAUACUGGUUAUCUUGAGUUAUUAUGAAGUAGUUAGAAUAUGUAGUGUAGCGGUGAAAUGCAUAGAUAUUACAUAGAAUACCAAUUGCGAAGGCAGAUUACUAAUAAUCAACUGACACUGAUGGACGAAAGCGUGGGGAGCGAACAGGAUUAGAUACCCUGGUAGUCCACGCCGUAAACGAUGGUCACUAGCUGUUCGAACUUCGGUUUGAGUGGCUAAGCGAAAGUGAUAAGUGACCCACCUGGGGAGUACGUUCGCAAGAAUGAAACUCAAAGGAAUUGACGGGGGCCCGCACAAGCGGUGGAGCAUGUGGUUUAAUUCGAUGAUACGCGAGGAACCUUACCAGGGCUUAAAUGUAAAUUGACAGGUUUAGAGAUAGACUUUUCUUCGGACAAUUUACAAGGUGCUGCAUGGUUGUCGUCAGCUCGUGCCGUGAGGUGUCAGGUUAAGUCCUAUAACGAGCGCAACCCCUGUUGUUAGUUGCCAGCGAGUCAUGUCGGGAACUCUAACAAGACUGCCGGUGCAAACCGUGAGGAAGGUGGGGAUGACGUCAAAUCAUCACGGCCCUUACGUCCUGGGCUACACACGUGCUACAAUGGUAGGGACAGAGAGCAG